UGCCAGUGGUGAUAUGCUUGUUUCAAAGACUAAGCCAUGCAUGUCUAAGCAUAGCUGGCAACAGUGAAGCCGCGAAUAGCUCAUUACAACAGCCGUUGUUUCUUGGAUCUACUCUCUACUUGGAUAACUGUGGUAAUUCUAGAGCUAAUACAUGCAUCAAGACCCGACGCAAGGACGGUCGCAUUUAUUACAACAAAACCAUCCGGUCCUCGGACCGUUCUCUGGUGACUCUGAAUAACUGAGCAAAUCGCACGGUCUCGCACCGGCGAUGUAUCUUUCAAGUGUCUGCCUUAUCAACUUUCGAUGGUAGUUUAUGUGCCUACCAUGGUUGUCACGGGUAACGGAGAAUCAGGGUUUGACUCCGGAGAGGGAGCCUGAGAAACGGCUACCACUUCUAAGGAAGGCAGCAGGCGCGCAAAUUACCCAUUCUCGGUACGAGGAGGUAGUGACGAAAAAUACCAAGCCGGGGCUCUUAUGAGUUUCGGCAUUGGAAUGAGAACAAUCCAAAUCUUUUAACGAGGAACUAGUG
rnacentral:rRNA from 1 species